CUUAGCAGUUUACCAAGCAAAAGACUUUUAGUUUGCCACCCCGAAACUAAGUGAGCUACUUUAAAAUAGCUUUUUAGAGCUAAUCCGUCUCUGUUGCAAUAGAGUGGAACAAUUUUUAAGUAGAAGUGAUAAACCUAUCGAACUUAGUGAUAGCUGGUUUUUUAAGAAAAGAAUUUCAGUUCCGCCCUAAACCUCAAAUUAUUUUAAUAAUUAAAUUAGAUUUAGGAGUCAUUCAAAUAAGGAACAGCUUAUUUGAAAAAGGAUACAACCUAGAAUAUAGGGUAAGACGAAUAAAAAUUCAACAAGUCGGCCUGAAAGCAGCCACCUUCUAAAAAGCGUCAAAGCUUAGCAUCAAAAAAUAUUCAAUAUCACCAAAAACUUCCAACCCCUAAUUAAUAUUAAAAAACUCCAUAAUGUUAUGGAAGCUACUAUGCUAGAAUAAGUAAUAAGAAUAAGACUUUCUCCAAAAUGUAAGCUUAAGCCAUAAUAGACAGACUAUUGGCAAUCAACGUCUAUGAGUCAAUUAUAGUAACAUUAUCAAGAAAACACUACAUCUACGAACGUCAACCUUACACUAGUACAUUUAUGGAAAGAUUAAAAGAGUGAGAAGGAACUCGGCAAAUAUGGAUCCCGCCUGUUA
rnacentral:rRNA from 1 species